rnacentral:rRNA from 1 species
GAGGAACGGCAAUGCCUUAAUAGGGCAGGUCGGCAAAUCACGCCCUUUACUAUGAGGGACCAGUACUGCUUAUUGAACGCAUUACGCUGCAAAAAUUAACAUGGUAUGCGGUGAUAGGACUGCGAUUAUAUUCCGUGGUUGCAUGUACGUAGUUAAUGAUUGAUGGUGACACUAGGGGUAUUCAUAUUCUUAUGUAAGAGUUGAAAUUCCUGGAUUGAGUGAUGAGCUACUACUGCGAAACGAUGUGCCGCGUGAUUUCGUUAAUGCAUAAACGCAACUCAGCGAAGACAUCAGCUCCGAUACCCUCGUACUCUUCACUAGAACCGUUGCCGCGGAUUGAACGAUGCUGCUUCAAACUCGCUGAGCUCUUUACGUUAACUCACACUGUCUGGGUUCCGCGGGGAACAUUGUUGCAAGGCUCAAACUUAAGGAAUUCACGCAAAGGGUAUCACGAGGAGUGGAGCCUGCGGGUUAAUUGACCAAGAACGGGGAAACUCACCAGGUCCAGAUGAAUUAAGGAUUCACAGAUUGCAGAUCUUUCUUAGUUUUGUGGUUGGUGGUGCAUCGCCGUUCACAGCCGGUGCAGUGAUUUGUCUGGUUAAUUGCGAUAACGAAGGAGAGCUCAGUCUGCUAAUUAGUCAGGGUCCCUCUGGCGUCGCGCCACGUUCUUAGGCGGACGGGGGUUUUAACCCAAUGGCAGUUGGAAGGAAUAACAGGUCUGUGGUGCCCUUAGAUGUGCUGGGCCGCACGCGCGUUGAAAUGACUUGUUCGACGAGUUCACCUGGUUAUUCGGACCGCACUUGGUAAUUUUGGCAAACUCUGUCGUCAUGGAGAUACACUCUGUCAAUUAUUGUUUGUCAACGAUGAAUUGCUAGUAAAGGCAGCUCAUGAGAAUGGCUUGAGUACGUCCCAUGCCUUUGAACACACCGCCCGUCGCACAUUACGAUUGAAUGGUCACGUGCAAUCUUGCCAUGGGUUCAUAAUGCUGUCAACUACGGACUUACCCUGGACAAGUUCGGCAAACCUUACGCUGUAGCGGAAUUCAAAAUGGUAACGAGAUUUCCGUAGGUGAACAUGCGGAAAAGGUAAUCG